UUCAAAAAAGAAAAAGAGGGGCUCCGCCGGUGUUCGUUGCGCCUUGGAAAAGCGGGCAGCAAACAAGAAAACGGCCCGCUGCUUUUUGUCCUCCGGCUUGCACUAAGCGGGAGGCGGGCGAGAAGCCACAAUGGCAAAACGUGACAAGAGGCGCACAGCGCUGGUGCAACAGAACUUUGACAGCUUGAAGAGGUUCUAUGCGAUUUCGCCCUUCGCGGCCGCGGAGCGAGCAACUCUCCCGCCUGUAUACUCUGGUGUCUACAGUCGGCGCGCAGCUAUGAAUUCAUACCACGUUGUAGGCUCCUCACGAGACCAGAUCGUCUUGGAAGCCAUGCGCACCUUCACUCCGUCGACGUGCACGAAGGAGGUGCUGGAUUUGUAUCUAGAGGUGGCGGCGCUCGUGUCGCUUUACUUCGACACGAAGGAGCAGCUGCUUGCGCUGCCAGAUGUUUGAGAGCCGUUUUCAGGUGAGCAGAGCACCUUUCCGAAAAAAAAAUAUAUAUAAAAGUCGCAUGCAGCUGGUCAGCGUCGUUCUCGUUUCACACGUGCUUUGCCGUACGCAGAGUGGUUUGGGCCGUCUUGGAGGCCUCUACCGGUAGUCGCCCGCGUACGGUAUCCCCGUUGCCGGCCACAUGGAAUGCGAAAGGUCGAACUGCACUUAGUAAAUCUCUCUCUGUGAAACUCCCUUUUACGGAAUGAACUGCGCUCCCAUUCUCUACGGCGUUUCUCUUUGGCGUGUUACUCGUGUUUUUUUCUCUCGCUGAUAAG
rnacentral:misc_RNA from 1 species